rnacentral:misc_RNA from 1 species
AGGCUAUAAUGAGGCUAUAUCAAAGAAUGCCUAAAUCAUCUCUUAAUCAAGUGUAAGCUAGGAUUUCACCUUGAUAGGUUUAAAAGACCUGUUCUAGGACUAGUGAGACAAUUAGAAAAUCACAUCCAUGCAUAUAUACUUACUCUAAGAACUCACAAUUUCGUUGCAAUGGAAUGAUGCACACAUGCUCAGGAAAAAUAAUCUACAUAAAGCUAAAUAUCAAUUCCAUUUUGAAUAUUCUUCUUCUUAUACAUUUUUAACUAAUCAACAUAUCAAGCCCUCUCAAAGUCAUUUCAAUCAUGUAUCAAAACAAUUCUCAUCAUAUCAAAAGAGUCAAAAAAUGCAAAAACAAUUUAUUGAUUUUAUAACUAAAUGCAAAAAUUUUAAAAAUAUCUACCUAAAAUGCAAAACAAACUUAAAAUGCUAAUUUUAUUGCAUCCCCAAACUCAAAUUUGGCAUUGUCCUUAAUUUCAUCAAGAUAGCAUAAUCAGCUAAAGAGCAAUAUUAUAAAUGCAACCAAUAAGGAAAA